GAUGAACGCUGGCGGCGUGCCUAAUACAUGCAAGUCGAGCGAACAGACGAGGAGCUUGCUCCUCUGACGUUAGCGGCGGACGGGUGAGUAACACGUGGAUAACCUACCUAUAAGACUGGGAUAACUUCGGGAAACCGGAGCUAAUACCGGAUAAUAUAUUGAACCUCAUGGUUCAAUAGUGAAAGACGGUUUUGCUGUCACUUAUAGAUGGAUCCGCGCCGCAUUAGCUAGUUGGUAAGGUAACGGCUUACCAAGGCAACGAUGCGUAGCCGACCUGAGCGGGUGAUCGGCCACACUGGAACUGAGACACGGUCCAGACUCCUACGGGAGGCAGCAGUAGGGAAUCUUCCGCAAUGGGCGAAAGCCUGACGGAGCAACGCCGCGUGAGUGAUGAAGGUCUUCGGAUCGUAAAACUCUGUUAUUAGGGAAGAACAAAUGUGUAAGUAACUAUGCACGUCUUGACGGUACCUAAUCAGAAAGCCACGGCUAACUACGUG
rnacentral:rRNA from 1 species